rnacentral:lncRNA from 1 species
GCUCUUGUAUUAUUAUCAGUACCUUAACAUAUACCCAUUAGAUAAACACCUAAUUAUCAUCUAUAUUGCAUUAUGAUAAGAUAAGAUAGGCGCACAUAACUUACAAUUUGUCCUCAAACUAGUGUUUAUCCCAAAAUUCCCCUAGCAAUAGGCCGAAAGCUUGUAUGAGUUGCGAGCGUUCCACUAUUAGUACGAAAGAAAGUAUAAUAGAAAGAUAAAUAAAAGGAAUCAGACCUUGUUAGAAGAGAAUAUAUGACAAAAUAGGCCAGGAAAUGGAGAUCAAAUUAACAUCAUCAACUGAAGCAACUGAUAUGACAGCAAGGUGAAUUAAUUCGAAACCAUUCAUCGUGGAAAAAAGAAAAACCAAGUAAAGUAAACUAGAAACUCAAAUUACAUGUAGAUGAAGUUCAAAAGCAAGCAUCCAACAGACAGCAGCAACACAAGGCAGCAGCACAUCCCUUCCAGAAGUCAUCACCCUUGGACUUGGUUUCUACAGGUCCAUGAGCAGCUGGAGGAAGAUUUUGGUCAUUUCUUGUGGGAUACCCAGCUGGUGGUGCUGGGGCCUGUACAUAAUAAGGUGCAGGGUGUGCUACUGUGGUCUGAGUAGUAGCUGAACUCAUUAUCACUAAAGUAGACGAUGGAGAGAAGAAAAUCAAAGUGAUGAAAAGAAUGAA